rnacentral:rRNA from 1 species
CAUAUUGUGAGCUCGAUGAGUAGGGCGGGACACGUGGUAUCCUGUCUGAAUAUGGGGGGACCAUCCUCCAAGGCUAAAUACUCCUGACUGACCGAUAGUGAACCAGUACCGUGAGGGAAAGGCGAAAAGAACCCCGGCGAGGGGAGUGAAAAAGAACCUGAAACCGUGUACGUACAAGCAGUGGGAGCACGCUUAGGCGUGUGACUGCGUACCUUUUGUAUAAUGGGUCAGCGACUUAUAUUCUGUAGCAAGGUUAACCGAAUAGGGGAGCCGAAGGGAAACCGAGUCUUAACUGGGCGUUAAGUUGCAGGGUAUAGACCCGAAACCCGGUGAUCUAGCCAUGGGCAGGUUGAAGGUUGGGUAACACUAACUGGAGGACCGAACCGACUAAUGUUGAAAAAUUAGCGGAUGACUUGUGGCUGGGGGUGAAAGGCCAAUCAAACCGGGAGAUAGCUGGUUCUCCCCGAAAGCUAUUUAGGUAGCGCCUCGUGAAUUCAUCUCCGGGGGUAGAGCACUGUUUCGGCAAGGGGGUCAUCCCGACUUACCAACCCGAUGCAAACUGCGAAUACCGGAGAAUGUUAUCACGGGAGACACACGGCGGGUGCUAACGUCCGUCGUGAAGAGGGAAACAACCCAGACCGCCAGCUAAGGUCCCAAAGUCAUGGUUAAGUGGGAAACGAUGUGGGAAGGCCCAGACAGCCAGGAUGUUGGCUUAGAAGCAGCCAUCAUUUAAAGAAAGCGUAAUAGCUCACUGGUCGAGUCGGCCUGCGCGGAAGAUGUAACGGGGCUAAACCAUGCACCGAAGCUGCGGCAGCGACGCUGAUGCGUUGUUGGGUAGGGGAGCGUUCUGUAAGCCUGUGAAGGUGUGCUGUGAGGUAUGCUGGAGGUAUCAGAAGUGCGAAUGCUGACAUAAGUAACGAUAAAGCGGGUGAAAAGCCCGCUCGCCGGAAGACCAAGGGUUCCUGUCCAACGUUAAUCGGGGCAGGGUGAGUCGACCCCUAAGGCGAGGCCGAAAGGCGUAGUCGAUGGGAAACAGGUUAAUAUUCCUGUACUUGGUGUUACUGCGAAGGGGGGACGGAGAAGGCUAUGUUGGCCGGGCGACGGUUGUCCCGGUUUAAGCGUGUAGGCUGGUUUUCCAGGCAAAUCCGGAAAACUAAGGCUGAGGCGUGAUGACGAGGCACUACGGUGCUGAAGCAACAAAUGCCCUGCUUCCAGGAAAAGCCUCUAAGCAUCAGGUAACAUCAAAUCGUACCCCAAACCGACACAGGUGGUCAGGUAGAGAAUACCAAGGCGCUUGAGAGAACUCGGGUGAAGGAACUAGGCAAAAUGGUGCCGUAACUUCGGGAGAAGGCACGCUGAUAUGUAGGUGAAGUCCCUCGCGGAUGGAGCUGAAAUCAGUCGAAGAUACCAGCUGGCUGCAACUGUUUAUUAAAAACACAGCACUGUGCAAACACGAAAGUGGACGUAUACGGUGUGACGCCUGCCCGGUGCCGGAAGGUUAAUUGAUGGGGUCAGCGCAAGCGAAGCUCUUGAUCGAAGCCCCGGUAAACGGCGGCCGUAACUAUAACGGUCCUAAGGUAGCGAAAUUCCUUGUCGGGUAAGUUCCGACCUGCACGAAUGGCGUAAUGAUGGCCAGGCUGUCUCCACCCGAGACUCAGUGAAAUUGAACUCGCUGUGAAGAUGCAGUGUACCCGCGGCAAGACGGAAAGACCCCGUGAACCUUUACUAUAGCUUGACACUGAACAUUGAGCCUUGAUGUGUAGGAUAGGUGGGAGGCUUUGAAGUGUGGACGCCAGUCUGCAUGGAGCCGACCUUGAAAUACCACCCUUUAAUGUUUGAUGUUCUAACGUUGACCCGUAAUCCGGGUUGCGGACAGUGUCUGGUGGGUAGUUUGACUGGGGCGGUCUCCUCCUAAAGAGUAACGGAGGAGCACGAAGGUUGGCUAAUCCUGGUCGGACAUCAGGAGGUUAGUGCAAUGGCAUAAGCCAGCUUGACUGCGAGCGUGACGGCGCGAGCAGGUGCGAAAGCAGGUCAUAGUGAUCCGGUGGUUCUGAAUGGAAGGGCCAUCGCUCAACGGAUAAAAGGUACUCCGGGGAUAACAGGCUGAUACCGCCCAAGAGUUCAUAUCGACGGCGGUGUUUGGCACCUCGAUGUCGGCUCAUCACAUCCUGGGGCUGAAGUAGGUCCCAAGGGUAUGGCUGUUCGCCAUUUAAAGUGGUACGCGAGCUGGGUUUAGAACGUCGUGAGACAGUUCGGUCCCUAUCUGCCGUGGGCGCUGGAGAACUGAGGGGGGCUGCUCCUAGUACGAGAGGACCGGAGUGGACGCAUCACUGGUGUUCGGGUUGUCAUGCCAAUGGCACUGCCCGGUAGCUAAAUGCGGAAGAGAUAAGUGCUGAAAGCAUCUAAGCACGAAACUUGCCCCGAGAUGAGUUCUCCCUGACUCCUUGAGAGUCCUGAAGGAACGUUGAAGACGACGACGUUGAUAGGCCGGGUGUGUAAGCGCAGCGAUGCGUUGAGCUAACCGGUA